rnacentral:rRNA from 1 species
UACAGAGGUCCCAAGCGUUGUUCGGAUUCACUGGGCGUAAAGGGUGCGUAGGCGGUCGGGUAAGUCUGACGUGAAAUCUCACAGCUUAACUGUGAAACUGCAUUGGAUACUAUCCGGCUCGAGGAAUGGAGGGGAGACUGGAAUACUUGGUGUAGCAGUGAAAUGCGUAGAUAUCAAGUGGAACACCAGUGGCGAAGGCGAGUCUCUGGACAUUUCCUGACGCUGAGGCACGAAAGCCAGGGAGCAAACGGG